AACGAACGCUGGCGGCAGGCUUAACACAUGCAAGUCGAACGCCCCGCAAGGGGAGUGGCAGACGGGUGAGUAACGCGUGGGAACAUACCCUUUCCUGCGGAAUAGCUCCGGGACACUGGAAUUAAUACCGCAUACGCCCUACGGGGGAAAGAUUUAUCGGGGAAGGAUUGGCCCGCGUUGGAUUAGCUAGUUGGUGGGGUAAAGGCCUACCAAGGCGACGAUCCAUAGCUGGUCUGAGAGGAUGAUCAGCCACAUUGGGACUGAGACACGGCCCAAACUCCUACGGGAAGCAGCAGUGGGGAAUAUUGGACAAUGGGCGCAAGCCUGAUCCAGCCAUGCCGCGUGAGUGAUGAAGGCCUUAGGGUUGUAAAGCUCUUUCACCGAUGAAGAUAAUGACGGUAGUCGGAGAAGAAGCCCCGGCUAACUUCGUG
rnacentral:rRNA from 1 species